rnacentral:rRNA from 1 species
GAAACGACCGCUAAUACCGCAUAAGCCCACGGCUCGGCAUCGAGCAGAGGGAAAAGGAGCAAUCCGCUUUGAGAUGGCCUCGCGUCCGAUUAGCUAGUUGGUGAGGUAACGGCCCACCAAGGCGACGAUCGGUAGCCGGACUGAGAGGUUGAACGGCCACAUUGGGACUGAGACACGGCCCAGACUCCUACGGGAGGCAGCAGUGGGGAAUAUUGCACAAUGGGGGAAACCCUGAUGCAGCGACGCCGCGUGGAGGAAGAAGGUCUUCGGAUUGUAAACUCCUGUUGUUGAGGAAGAUAAUGACGGUACUCAACAAGGAAGUGACGGCUAACUACGUGCCAGCAGCCGCGGUAAAACGUAGGUCACAAGCGUUGUCCGGAAUUACUGGGUGUAAAGGGAGCGCAGGCGGGAGAACAAGUUGGAAGUGAAAUCCAUGGGCUCAACCCAUGAACUGCUUUCAAAACUGUUUUUCUUGAGUAGUGCAGAGGUAGGCGGAAUUCCCGGUGUAGCGGUGGAAUGCGUAGAUAUCGGGAGGAACACCAGUGGCGAAGGCGGCCUACUGGGCACCAACUGACGCUGAGGCUCGAAAGUGUGGGUAGCAAUCAGGAUUAGAUACCCUGGUAGUCCACACUGUAAACGAUGAUUGCUAGGUGUUGGAGGAUUGACCCCUUCAGUGCC